ACCCGCACAAGCAGCGGAGCGUGUUGGUUUAAUUCGUUGCUACACGAAGAACCUUACCUGGGUUUGACAUAUAGGUUGUAGGGAACUGAAAAGGGACCGACCUUCGGGGAGCCUAUACAGGUGUUGCAUGGCUGUCGUCAGCUCGUGUCGUGAGAUGUUCGGUUAAGUCCGCUAACGAGCGCAACCCUCGUCGUAUGUUAUAUGUGUCAUACGAGACUGCCGGUAAAAGCCGGAGGAAGGUGAGGAUGAUGUCAAGUCAGCAUGACCUUUAUAUCCAGGGCUACACACACGCUACAAUGGUCUGUACAAUGGGUAGCCAAGCCGCGAGGCGGAGCCAAUCCUGAAAGCAGGCCUCAGUUCAGAUUGCAGUCUGCAACUCGACUGCAUGAAGCCGGAGUUGCUAGUAACCGCAGGUCAGCAAUACUGCGGUGAAUACGUUCCCGGGUCUU
rnacentral:rRNA from 1 species